UACGUAGGGGGCAAGCGUUGUUCGGAAUUACUGGGCGUAAAGGGCUCGUAGGCGGCCAACUAAGUCGGAUGUGAAAUCCCCAAGCUUAACUUGGGAACUGCAUCCGAUACUGGAUGGCUUGAAUCCGGGAGAGGGAUGCAGAAUUCCAGGUGUAGCGGUGAAAUGCGUAGAUAUCUGGAGGAAUACCGGUGGCGAAGGCGGCAUCCUGGACCGGCAUUGACGCUGAGGAGCGAAAGCUAGGGGAGCAAACGGG
rnacentral:rRNA from 1 species